rnacentral:rRNA from 1 species
GGCCUUACGGGGUGCAGCAGGCGAGAAAACUUUGCAAUGUGCGAAAGCACGACAAGGUUAAUCCGAGUGGUUUCUGCUAAAGGAACCUUUUGUUAGUCGUAGAAUCACUGAUGAAUAAGGGGUGGGCAAGUUCUGGUGUCAGCCGCCGCGGUAAAACCAGCACCUCAAGUGGUCAGGAUGAUUAUUGGGCCUAAAGCAUCCGUAGCCGGCUCUGUAAGUUUUCGGUUAAAUCUGUACGCUCAACGUACAGGCUGCCGGGAAUACUGCAGCGCUAGGGAGUGGGAGAGGUAGACGGUACUCGGUAGGAAGGGGUAAAAUCCUUUGAUCUAUUGAUGACCACCUGUGGCGAAGGCGGUCUACCAGAACACGUCCGACGGUGAGGGAUGAAAGCUGGGGGAGCAAACCGGAUUAGAUACCCGGGUAGUCCCAGCUGUAAACUAUGCAAACUCAAUGAUGCAUUGGCUUGUGGCCAGUGCAGUGUUGCAGGGAAGCCGUUAAGUUUGCCGCCUGGGAAGUACGUACGCAAGUAUGAAACUUAAAGGAAUUGGCGGGGGAGCAC